UAAAUAUUUGAAUCUUUUAUUUUUUCCUGAAUUAAUAGAUUUAAAAUUUUCUUAUUUUUUAUUUUUAAAAGUUUUAUUCUUGCUUGUUUAUUCACUUUUUCUUUGUAUUAUAUGUAAGUUUUGUUAGACUAAAUGUUCUUUUUGCAGUAAUUUGAUUUAAUUAUCAAGUGAUUUUGGAUUUAGCAAUUGAUUUAGUAUCGGCAUAAUUCGUGCCAGCAGCCGCGGUUAUACGAUUGAUACAAGUGAAUAUUAUUGGUUAAAACAGUUGUUUAUAUUAUUAGGGUUGAAAUAUAAAUUUGUAAGGUGAAAUGUUAAAAUUUAUUUGUGGCCCUUUUUAUGAAUCUGUGAAAUUUAAAUAAUAAACUAGGAUUAGGUACCCUAUUAUUUUAAAUGUUAAUUAUAUUUACCAGGGUACUAUUAGUUAAGGUCUUUAAACCCAAAGAAUUUGGCGGUAUCUCAUUCCAUUCAGAGGAACCUAGCCCAUGAUUGAUAAUACACGAUUUACUC